rnacentral:rRNA from 1 species
ACGUAGGGGCCGAGCGUUGUCCGGAGUUAUUGGGCGUAAAGCGCGCGCAGGCGGCUUCGCGCGUCCGACGUGAAAGCCCCCGGCUUAACCGGGGAGGGUCGUUGGGUACGGCGGAGCUUGAGGGCGGGAGAGGGUGGUGGAAUUCCCGGUGUAGUGGUGAAAUGCGUAGAGAUCGGGAGGAACACCUGUGGCGAAGGCGGCCACCUGGGCCGACCCUGA